rnacentral:rRNA from 1 species
GACGAACGCUGGCGGCGUGCUUAACACAUGCCAGUCGAACGGAAAUGCCCUGCUUUUGUGGGGUGCUCGAGUGGCGAACGGGUGAGUAACACGUGAGUAACCUGCCCUUGACUUUGGGAUAACUUCAGGAAACUGGGGCUAAUACCGGAUAGGAGCUCCUGCUGCAUGGUGGGGGUUGGAAAGUUUCGGCGGUUGGGGAUGGACUCGCGGCUUAUCAGCUUGUUGGUGGGGUAGUGGCUUACCAAGGCUUUGACGGGUAGCCGGCCUGAGAGGGUGACCGGCCACAUUGGGACUGAGAUACGGCCCAGACUCCUACGGGAGGCAGCAGUGGGGAAUAUUGCACAAUGGGCGGAAGCCUGAUGCAGCAACGCCGCGUGCGGGAUGACGGCCUUCGGGUUGUAAACCGCUUUCGCCUGUGACGAAGCGUGAGUGACGGUAAUGGGUAAAGAAGCACCGGCUAACUACGUG